GCCUUCGUGGUGUAGUGGUCAGCACGCUCGACGCGUAACCGAGAGAGCCGUGGUUCGAUUCCCCGAGAAGGCG
rfam:Stegodyphus mimosarum contig102198, whole genome shotgun sequence.